UACGUAGGGGGCUAGCGUUGUCCGGAAUCAUUGGGCGUAAAGCGCGUGUAGGCGGCCCGGUAAGUCCGCUGUGAAAGUCGGGGGCUCAACCCUCGGAUGCCGGUGGAUACUGUCGGGCUUGAGUACGGAAGAGGCGAGUGGAAUUCCUGGUGUAGCGGCGAAAUGCGCAGAUAUCAGGAGGAACACCGAUUGCGAAGGCAGCUCGCUGGGACGUUACUGACGCUGAGACGCGAAAGCGUGGGGAGCAAACAGG
rnacentral:rRNA from 1 species